rnacentral:misc_RNA from 1 species
UUUUAACAAAACGAAUCACAAGAAAUCUUAUACAUCCAAUUAUUACAAAGUGCCCAAACACAAAGUUUGAACAUUAUUAUAAUUCAAUACAUUAAUUAAAACAACUUAGGUCCACACUACCUAAGCAAUUGAAGUGAAAUUAAAAUUGGCACAUGUAGUUUGUCUAAAAAGGAUUGAAGAUGUGAAUCCCAAUCUUGAUGCUGCAUGAUCAAAUUGCAAAAGAUUGUCUUCAAUUGUAUGUCCUCCAAUCACAAUUGAAGUCCUUGCAUUAACACCACCAUCCAAAACUCCAAGACACAAGACAUUUUCACUAACUUGUACCAUUGAAUUAGCUCCAAAAAUAGUCCAAACAACAUUUGCAUUUUGUAAAACAAGAUCAAUUGAUGGCACUGCUGGUCCAACUCUUGUACUUCCAAUAUCUCUUGAAUCAAAACAAACCCUAAAUGGCGCCACGACCGCGACCCUAGUCACAUUAGCUAGUUCCUUCACAAAGAAAUUUGUGAUAGCAUUGUAUAGUGAAGUCUCCAAGAUUGUGUAAGGAUUUACUGUGCUGAUUUUUGUUCCACCAACACCUUGAUUGUCAAUUGACAACAAAGUUGUGUUUAUUGGUACAACUUUUUGGUUAAUCUUAAUGGAUUUUACACCAAUAAAGUAUUCAGAUGAUGGUUGACCUGAUGAAAAGGCUGAGGCUGUACUUACUGGAUUUAUAAAAAGUGGAGUGUAUUGAAAGUCAUUAUUUGAGAAUUGUCUAUUAGGUAAGAAAAAAUAAGGACCAUCUCCAAAAAGUACCACACCUUUAGAGUUACUACUAGAAGUCAAACAAAGAGCAAAUUUUCUAGGAAAACUAAAUUCAGCUGAGAAUUGAGAAGGAAGAGAUAUUUUUGUUCUUCCAAGACCAGCCAUACCCUUAACACCACUAGCAAGACCUUGUAAAAGAAAUGUAGCACCACAAACAAAAAGGAAAUUUUUAUCACUAACGCUCCUACCAGGAUUUUUUCCAUUAGAUGAUUCUACUGACACAACAUCAGAAGCUAACUCUCCACUAGUAGCGGUCCCAGUAACCGUGUUGUCAGGAAGUAGACCACACGUGUUAUUAUUACAACCCGGUCUAGGUGGAGAAAAGCAUUCUCCACAACCAGACGCUCCGCCCAGUGAACACUGGGCGGAGCCACACCGGGCCGGUUUAUAAGAGGAAGAAACAUAACCUUGAUCACAAUCUACCCAUAAAAAUUGGCCACCAAGAUCAAGAGUUAAACUUAUAGGGACAAGAGGUGUUCUUUGUUGGAUUUGUGUAAGGUAUUGGAGAGUUGAAGCAUCUUUUGUGACUGGGAUAAUUAGGCCUUUGGGACGGAAUGAAGUUUGAUUUUGAGCUAUAGUUGAAGUAAUGAAAAGAAGAGAACACAAAAGAAUGGCAUGUAAACAAUUAGAAGAAGCCAUGAUUUAAUUUAUUUGUUGUGUGAUGG